GAACACACAUGUUCUCACUGUGAUAAUGGCUUAGGGAUAGUCUUAUGACCUGAGUUAGACCAAUCCGAUGAUUUUUCUGAGAUUAUUCUCACUGGAAUGGGUGGGAAAACUCCUUUCUCUUUUAGUUGUUGAGUUUGGAGGCUGUGACUCAUGGCUUUUUUUUUUUUUUUUUUUUUCACACAGAGAAAGCCUGCCUGGUAGAAGAGAAAGGAGCCAAGCAAAACCAAAAAACGGAUAUGAGAUGAAAAGGAAAGAGAGUAGAGUCCUGGUGACAUCAAGUCCUGGCUCUCUUUGGGGAUCCUGGAGAAGAGUAUUUUUAGGAGGCAUUACUGUGAAGCAUAGCAGGUGGCCAGAUGGUAAUGGAAGGAAACAUGGUCCCUUCUAUCGGCUACAAGAACUGAGUGGCAUUCAGGUGUGUAAUGAGAUAAACUACAUUUCUAGAGACAUUGUCUUGGAUCCAGGUGGAAGAAGGGGGCACCAUGGAAUCUUGCCAGAGAGUAUGAAGUCUGGGAAAAUAGUAAAAAAACAGACUAUUGCACCCAGUCCUGUUCCCUAGGUAGUCCUUUCCUUGCCUUAGCUGUGACACCUGGGAAUUUACUACCAUCCCUUUUGAAAGCUUUCCUCCAGAGGAUGUUGAUAAGGUCAUGUCCGGAUGAUAUUCCCCUACAGCUUGUGUUCCUAACAGUGUUGACUCCUCCUUUUCUGAAUCACAGGCAUUGCUAGAAAAUCAAAUUAUGCCUCUGGUUAUAAUAUCUCAGCGGGAAAGGAAAUUCCCUUGGUUCCAGAGUUUCUCUCUGGAGCCCCACUCUUCUCUUGUUUGAUUUGAUUUUACUUUUAUUUCUUGGGAGGGUGUGGUAGAUAUAGUGGUCACUUUUCCAUUUCUUGUCUGUUUGGCAUUCAUUGCUUUCCCCAAAUCUCAGUGGAAUAUUAAUACACUACCUUUAUAUCUGUGAGAUUUGGUGGGAAAAUGAUUCCCAGUGCUCACCUCCUAUUCCUAGGGAAGCCAAGGAGGACCAGUUACUUCUUUCCCAGUCUUAGGAAAAGCCAAGAGAGGGCGUAUGUCUAACCCCCGGGCAAGUGGAUACUUCUUCCCUGGGUUUUAAAAUAUUUAGUCUACGACUGGGGGCGUAGAGAUGGUUGGAGGACCUGUCUUUGAAGACUGAACUGGAUAACUCAGGGGAAAGUCUACCCUAGGAUUCCUAGACUCUCCCUGCAGCCACUUUCUACUUUGAUUCAUUUACAAAAAAGGUUGUAACUUAAUACCUUCUUGGUCUGAUAAAUGCUCUAAAUAUGUGAGUUAGUGGAGUGAAGGAGACAAGAGAAAGGUUAGGCCAGCGGGGAGUGCAGGCUUCUCCUAAAUAAAGCAUUGAACAGCCUGGGCUUUUGAGCGCAGCCCAGCAUCUAAGGUAGAUAGUGUUCUCGUACUUGUUUGAAAUGUCCCAGAAAUACCAACGUUUUAGCAUCCAAGCUGUAUCCCUUAGAAUGCUCCUUGUUCCAUGGUAUAUAUACG
rnacentral:lncRNA from 1 species